AGAUAAUCAUCUUGAUUCAACAUUAAUUGAAAUGUGUGAUAAGUUAACUGGGAGAAGACCUGAAAUUGUUGGGGGAAAAAAGGGAAAAGACCCUUAGUAACACCACAGCGGUAUUACACUAGCCCUGAUGAUGAGUGGAUGGAAAAUUCAUAAGUCAUUUCUCUGCACAGCGUUGCCAAGAUAAUAUAUCAACUAUUUUCCUACCUGCUCAGGUGAUUCUUCUCAUCAUUCAGCUUCUCUAUUCGGCUGCAGGAACUACAACGUUAGUCUUUCCUGCUCCAUUCAGCACCCACUCCCACAGAGCCAGCACAAUUUACAGUUCCACCAGAAGAUCCUGUCCUGGACCUCCAUUAGAAGCCAAAGGCGGCAAGGAAGCUCUCAAAUACCUGCAACAGGGACAAUCUUGUUGAGCACUUACUUAAAAAGAAAAAAGCUGAAAAG